rnacentral:rRNA from 1 species
GCUUGCUUUUUUUUGAGAGCGGCGGACGGGUGAGUAAUGCCUAGGAAUCUGCCUGGUAGUGGGGGAUAACGUCCGGAAACGGACGCUAAUACCGCAUACGUCCUACGGGAGAAAGCAGGGGACCUUCGGGCCUUGCGCUAUCAGAUGAGCCUAGGUCGGAUUAGCUAGUUGGUGAGGUAAUGGCUCACCAAGGCGACUAUCCGUAACUGGUCUGAGAGGAUGAUCAGUCACACUGGAACUGAGACACGGUCCAGACUCCUACGGGAGGCAGCAGUGGGGAAUAUUGNNNNUGNGCNAAAGCCUGAUCCAGCCAUGCCGCGUGUGUGAAGAAGGUCUUCGGAUUGUAAAGCACUUUAAGUUGGGAGGAAGGGUACUUACCUAAUACGUGAGUAUUUUGACGUUACCGACAGAAUAAGCACCGGCUAACUCUGUGCCAGCAGCCGCNGGUAAUACAGAGGGUGCAAGCGUUAAUCNGAAUUACUGGGCNUAAAGCGCGCGUAGGNUGGGUUCGUUAAGUUGGAUGUGAAAUCCCCGGGCCUNACCUGGGAACUGCAUCCAAAACUGGCAAGCUAAAGUNUGNUAGAGGUGGNGNAUUNCCNGGGUGNNGGGAAAAA